UUGACACUUGCUAACACCACUUGAAUACUAGGUUGUCAUCCCCAGCAUGGCACUAGAGUGUACUAUGGUAUUUAUACGCACACAGAUAAUCCGCAAGCGCACGGAUACCGUUGAAGCUUUUACCCGGUUAAAGGUUUUAUCGUAUCCACAGGGAAACGGGAGAACUGAUCUACGCUCUAACUUAACCAAGAUAAGUAAAUAGGUGUGAAUAGGAAAGAUAGUAGAAUCGAAUAAGAACAAUAUUAAAGGUAAGAUAACAGUGAGUGAUAAUAUGGGAAUAGAGAGUAGAGCAAUUCUAGUAUAUGGGCGAUGGUAGCAGAAUAGAGAGGAUAACUAUGUUUCUCUACUUCAAAGGGGUAUGUCUAUGUCUGGGACGAACCACGUGAUAAGAGUACACCACAAAGGAUGCUUAUCCAUAGGCCGAUAAACCCUACCCGUCCUGCUAACGAGAGGUGGACUACAGGGGACCAACGUAACUGUCACCUACGCGGCCUACCACACGAUCCAGCUAGUCAGGGGAUAUCCACAAGUAAUCU
rnacentral:lncRNA from 1 species